ACACUGUACACAGUAACGUUAGGAACUUGAACAUGCGGUUUUUCAGUGAGCAAAGUAACAUGCAAAAUGCCUGAUAAACGAAUCAAUUCGAUGUUUAAAACUUUAAAAAUAAAACGGCAAGAUUACUUGUGUUGGAGAUGUUCAGCUAACUGUAGCAAAUGGCUCUUUCUGCUAUUUUAAACGAUAACCUUAGACGAUUUCUGUUGUUUAAAAGCUCAUUGCUGUAGAGGUCAUGUACCAUGUGGUCGACCUUGCUGACGCUGAAGAGGUUUCUGUGUAAAAAUGAUGACAUUGAGACAAACAGACCAGUUCUGGCUGCCGUGGAGGUCAACACACCACUGAUCUACUGGCUGCCCUUCAACGUGAUGCCCAGCCGAUGCCUGACCACCGACGGAACUAGGGCUGCACGAUAAGUCGCAUGUGUUUGUCAGGCGCAUCUCCUCAGUAAUGCCGGUUCCUUGAUUAGUAUUAAAUCGCCAUCAGCUGUUUUCAGAUGUAGCAGCUUUAACUACACAGAGCCGUAGUUCACUGACAAUCGGGGCAAUUUCGCAUUAAUUAUCGCGGACGUAUCGGCUGCGAUAUGUAUGCGAUAUGGCCCAGCUUGUCAGGGAACUACGGCUCUGUAGUUAAAGCUGCUCCAUCUGAAAACAGCUGAUGGCGAUUUAAUACUAAUCAAGGAACCGGCAUUACUGAGGAGAUGCGCCUGACAAACACAUGCGAUUUAUCGUGCAGCCCUAGACGGAACCCGUUAAAUCUCCUUAUCCGUUUACAUCCCAUAUAUAUAUAUGUGUAUAUCUUUUCCUCCUAGGACUUUUUGUUCCUCCCUGAGGUUUUUCUCCUAGGGUUUUUUUAACCCCGGGGAGUCAAGCAACAUUGGCUUAACUUAGCACCCUCUUGUAUACGAGACAUUAUUAAUUUGCUCACUUGUAAAGUUUAUUCAUAGCCGCUGUAUUUUGCUACUUAUAUUGUCUGUCGAUUUUUCUGUUUCCCCUGCUUCUUUUAAUGUAAAGCUGCUUUGAAACAACUACAAAUUGUGAAAAGCGCUAUAUAAAUAAAAUUGAAAUUGAAAUGUCUCUUUCCUGUUUUACAGAUGCAGUGAGGGAGUGAUUCCCCAACAUCGAGGUGGCAGAGAUCCGGGACCUUCUACGGAGGAAGUGCAACAAUGCCAGUUACAAGGCCUCCAGUAGUUCAAAUCAGAGCUAGAUGUCCAUAUAGUACAAGUUGUUCGCAAUUGUUCUCUUCCCGGCAUUUCAAAGAAAGUCGACUGUUUAAGGUUCCCCAUUUUGCCAAUA